UCCUUUUCUGUACCUAUACCACUGAACCAGGGGUUCAUAGAAAAAUGGGGCGACUCACCUCUGUCCCUCGAUCUCCCUCUCCUCUUCGUCGAGAAGUCCCUAUCUCUCUCCUUUCCAUCUCCCUCUCCGGCCGCCGGCGUUGAAACAACAACGCCCAGAAUCCAAAUCAUGAGGUCCAGCGGCUGCGCGCUGUGAUUGCAUCUUUUUUGCGACGCAGGGCUGUAGCUCCGUGGACCAAUAACACGGCUGCAUAGGAGUCGGCUAUCCGCCUUUAUAGCUCGAGGAUCUGAGGAGGCUCUGUGGUCAUUUCAACAUGCAUUAUGUAUUCCAUCUAUCUUGAAGUCAUCAAGAUGACUUUCUGUUCAUGCUAGUUGGCCUGAGGAUUGAUUUGUACUCUAUCGCCCGAAAUGCUUUCCUCGUGAAGUAUAUCUACUAGUCGCUGCUGCUAAGUUGAUUUUUUCGAUUCCUUUUGUCUAAACCUGGUGCACAAAGGAAACAAAUCUGUACAAGUCUAUAUGUACUUCUACUUCGGUUGUCAUUUAUGCACUUGGAUGCUUCGAGUAAAAAGGGUCACUCAUGUGUUUAAGAAGUUAGUUCGCGAUGCCAAA